UGCUUCCCUCAGAACACCUUGUGGGAGGGAGGGAAAGUUGUCCUGGUCACCUGGCGGAGAAGGAUGCAGAGGGACUAAGUAGCUGUCACAAGCUGGCACAGAAAUUAAGUAAGAACACUUCUGGAUAAACAGAAGAAACAGUACAUAGCAAUAAUUGCCUUUCCAGUUUUACUAUUUGAGCCACUACUUUUGUAGCCUACCUGAAGAUGAAGAGCUUGGAGGCUUUCAGGGAGCGGCAAGGGAAUAUGAUCCAAGUUAUUGUCAGUGAUGUAAAGAUGCUGCAGUUCAUUCAGAUCCUAGAGGAUGAAGGAAAAAGGUAAAUAAUAUUCUCCCUUGACUUAGUGGAUGAACAAGUGGCAGGCACAAUAGCUAGGCUGCUCACAAUCGUCUUUGAAAGGAGAGGUGCCUGAGGACUGGAGGUAAGCCAGUGCUACCUUCAUCUUCAAAAAGGGUAAGAAGGAGAAUCCGGAGAAUUACCAGCCAAUCAGCCUCACCUCAAGCCCUGGAGAGGUGAUGGACCGCCUCAUUCUAGAGGCCAUCUCUAACCACAUGGAUGACAAGAAGGUGAUCAGGAGUAGUCAGCAUGGAUUCCCUAAAGGUAAAUCAUGCUUAACCAACCUGAUUACCUUCUGAAAUGAAACAACUACCAGGAGAGAUGAGGGGAGAGCAUUGGAUAAUGUAUACCUUGACUUCAGUAAGGCUUUCGACAUUGUCUCUCACAACAUACUUAUAGGCAAACUUAGGAAGUAUGGACUGGAUGAACGGAUAGGGAGGUGGAUUGAUAACUACUGAAUGGUAGAUCUCAAAGAGUCGUAAUCAAUAGCAUAGGGUCUAGUGGAAGGCCUGUCUAAGUUAUUCAUCAAUGACUUGGACAGAGGAGCAGAUGCCUUCUCAAAAAUCUGGAAAGGGUGACCAUUACCCCAGAGUGCUGUGCAGUCAUUCAGAAGGACCUCAACAGGCUGGAGAGAUGGGCAGAGAGGAAUCACUUGAAAUUCAGCAAAGGUAAGUGCAGGGUCCUGUACGUGGCAAAGAAUAACCCCACACACCAGCACAGGCUGGGGGACAACUUGCUGGAAAGCAGCUCUGUGCAAAAAGGAACUGGGGGUCCUGGUGGACAACAAGCUGACCAUGAGCCAACAGUGUGCCCCUGUGGCCAAGCAGGCCAAUGAUAUUGUUGGGUACAUGAGGAAAAGCAUUGCAAGCAGGUCAAAGUAGCUCAUCCUGCCCCUCUACUCAGCCCUAUUGUGGUCACAUCUGGAGUGCUACAUCCAGUUCUGGGCUCCUCAGUACCAGAGAGACAUGGAGCUUCUGGAGCGGGUCCAGUGGAAUGUUACAAAGAUGAUUAAGGGACUGGAGCAUCACUCUUAGGAGGACAGGCUGCUCUUCUGACCACAUCCUGGAGACAGGAAAAAAAUAUUUUCCCUUUCAAUCCAGACUUACUUUAAAUGCCUCAUUACGUAUUCCUUUGUGACCAAGCCUGUUCUUACUAACAUCAAGGAAUGUUAAGGUAGAUGGUAACUCAGGGAGUA